rnacentral:lncRNA from 1 species
NNNNNNNNNNNNNNNNNNNNNNNNNNNNNNNNNUGUGCACGUGCGUGUGUGUGCCAGGGCUGUGCACAUCCACACACAUGUGCCAGCGUGUUCAUGCGUGUGCAUCCAUGCAUGUGCAGGACUGUGUACAUCUAUACAUGUGUGCCAGGCGUUUUCAUACGUGUGCACCCAUGUGUGCAUCCACGUGUGUGCCAGGGCUGUGCUCAUCCAUACCUGUGUGCCAGGCGUGUUCAUGCAUGUGCAUCCACAUGUGUGUUCAUGCGUGUGUCAGGUCUGUGCACAUCCACAUGUCUGUGCCAGGCGUGUUCAUGCGUGUGCAUCCAUGUGUGUACCAGGACUGUGUACAUCUGUACAUGUGUGCCAGGCAUUUUCAUGUGUGUGCACCCACGUCUGUGCUCAUGCGUGUGCCAGGGCUGUGUACAUCCACACACGUGUGCCAGCCGUGUUCAUGCGUGUGCAUCCAUGUGUGUGCAUCCACGUGUGUGCCAGGGCUGUGCACAUCCGCACGCAUGUGCCAGCCGUGUUCACGCAUGUGCUCACGUGUGUGCCAGGGCUGUGCACAUCCACACACGUGUGUGCCAGGCGUGUUCACGCAAGUGCUCAUUCAUAUGCCAGGGCCGUGCACAUCCACACACGUGUGUGCCAGGCGUGUUCAUGCAUGUGCUCAUGCACGUGCCAGGACCGUGUGCUCACGCAUGUGCCAGGGCUGUGCACAUCCACACACAUGUGCCAGGCGUGUUCACGCGUGUGCUCACGCGUGUGCCAGGGCGGGACAGGGCCCGGUGCCGGCGGCGGCGCCCGACACGUGUCGCGGUCGCGGUGUAAUUUGUCCCGUGACGCCGGGCAGCUCGAGGUUUGUAUUUAAUUACAGCGAUGGCGCCAACCCCAGCUCACCCUUCUCCAUCAAUAAUGCAUGCGUUUGUGUUUAUCGCUGCUUAAUUAAUCUGCGCUUACGACAAUUAAAGGCUCCCAAAAUCCCCCACGGUGGCAGCGGGGAGCGGCUGCGCCGGGCUGGCGCGGUGGCGGUGCCAGCCUGGCCGUGGUGCCAAGGAGGUCACCGUGGUGGUGU